CCUACGGGUGGCAGCAGUGAGGAAUAUUGGUCAAUGGACGCAAGUCUGAACCAGCCACGCCGCGUGCAGGAAGACGGCUCUAUGAGUUGUAAACUGCUUUUGUACGAGGGUAAACGCAGAUACGCGUAUCUGUCUGCAAGUAUCGUACGAAUACGGAUCGGCUACCUCCGUUCCAGCCGCCGCGGUAAUACGGAGGAUUCAAGCGUUACCCGGAUUUAUUGGGUUUAAGGGGUGCGUAGGCGGUCGGAUGAGUUAGAGGUGAAAUCCCGAGGCUCAACUUCGGAAUUGCCUCUGAUACGGUGCGGCUAGAGAGUAGUUGCGGUAGGCGGAAUGUAUGGUGUAGCGGUGAAAUGCUUAGAGAGCAUACAGAACACCGAUUGCGAAGGCAGCUUACCAAGCUACUUCUGACGAUGAGGCACGAAAGCGUGGGGAGCAAACAGGAUUAGAUACCCUUGUAGUC
rnacentral:rRNA from 1 species